ACCCCGAACGGCACAAAAUAGGAAAAAAGAAAACCCACCCCAUCUUCCCCAUCUUGUCGUCGACCCACCACAUCCGGCACCCCGCUGCCGGCCACCUCCCGGCGCCCCGGCUUCUUGACCCGCCGCCAGCCACCUCCGGCGCCCCAACUUCUUGACCCGCCGCCAGCCACCUCACCAUGCCCCUGAUUCUUUCCCUGCCACCUCCCCGCGGCCCGACUUCUUUCCCGCCUCCGGCCUCCUCCUCGCGCCCCGGCUUCUUCCCGGCCGUCGGCCUCCUCCUCGCGCCCCAGCUUCUUCCCCGCCGCCGGCCUCCUCCUCUUGCCCCGACUUCUUCCCCGUUGCCGGCCUCCUCCUCGCGCCCCAGCUUCUUCCCCUCCGUUGGCCUUCUCGUCGCGUCCCGGCUUCUUCCCCGCCGGAGCGGCCAACCACAAGAUCCGGUCGCCACAUCCCCAUGACGCCCCCAGCAACGGCGCCCGGACCUCGACACCACCCGGCUCGGGGGACUCCAAGCCCCGGCGCUGCCGACCCCUGCACUACCUCAUCCGGCGACGAUCCACGCCAUCACUCUGCCUCGUUCCGGUGGGGGAUCCAUGGCCACUACGCCAGUCCAAUACCACCGCCGCAAGCCGGCCACAUCCACAAUGACCAGACCGGCUGCCCCGCGCCUCAGCCCCCCGUAUGCACGCCACCAAGUGCCUCUGUGCACUACCCCCGCCUCCCCCAUCAGGUUGCAGCCCGAGCCACACGGUGCCGCAUCUUGUUGAGAUCACUGCCUUGCCGUGGUUCCAGCGGUACACAGGAGGAUGGAUGCCCUGGUGCCGUACGUCCAGGUUUUGAUGCGAUGCUCUUCUGCUCAUGACGCUGGAGCCCUAGUGCCCCACUACACAUGAAACGAGAGACAUGUACAGAAGUUCACCUAAAAAAAGGCUAGCAGUUCUUCCCAAAGAGACAACAGUUCUAAGAAAAGAAGGUAGAAAAAAAGGGUAGCUCAACGUACAAAAAAUUGGAGGUUUAGAGACCACAAACAAAGACGAAAACAAUUUCAGUGGCACAAUCAGUUUAGUUUCUAUUUUUAGUUCAGUUCAAUUAUUAUUUUUAGUUUCGUUCAGUUCAAUAUUGUCAAUGAACUGAUAUACAUACAAAUAAGAAAUUAUAUUCAUUUAUUUGGUACAGACUUAGUUAUUAGUUUUGGAGACCAGAAUAUCAGUUCAGUUAUUUUAUCAUUUUGUACCGAUUCCACUCAUUGUAUGAACUGGUGCAUCACCAUGGAAGUAAAAAAGAAAGGAAACAUCAGUCCAGCUACUAGACAUGGAUGUGAUUUUCUAUGUAAAUAUCUAGCGGGAGCUGCAGCUGGUGAGCGUCUGUGCCCUGCUGAUUGCGUGCAAGUACGAUGAGAUUUGGGCUCCAGAGGUACGUAGGUUGAAUGAUGGAUCAUCCAUCCAUUCUGCUGUUCGUUCGUUCAUUGAGUCCGCGUUCUGAUUGGUGGCUGUUUUGUGCGUAGGGAUGACAAUUUUUCCCAUGGGUACCCUACCCGAAAACAAUGAGAAUGGGCAAGACUUGAAGAGAUUUUCUACCCACGGGUAAUGGGUACCCAUAUCCACAAAAUGUAUGGGUAGGGCAUGGGUAAGAAAUUGUGCCCAUGGGUAACCCAAUGGAUACCCAGAAAAAAAUAACAAAUGAAAAUAAUUCCUAUAACAUGUGGGGUUAACAUCCAACUCAUAUGGUCUAACCCUAAAUCUCGUAUUCCUUAAACAAGUCAUAGCUCAUAGGCUCAUAAUCACCUGCUUGCCACUCCUCAUACGUCCUAUGUGACUCCUCAAAAAUAUGAAAUAUCGACUCUUCGCUACCAGACUCUUGUCGAACACUCGAUCCCCAAUUCCCACCACCGCCUUCCACUACGUCGGCCUUCCACCAACCGCUGCUCAUACUCCCCUGAUGCCUCCAAGAGGCCACCCACUGGAGGAGGCCACAUACGUGCUAUAGUUCUCUACCAUGAUCACUUGAAUUUUGAACUCAUUUCUCUACCUCUUAAGAAUUUGAAUGCUAUAUAUUGUACCCAAUGGAUACCCAUUGGGUAUAGGAUACCCGAUGGGUAUGGGCAUGGGUGUUAGUUUAUACCCAUGGGUAUUGAAGUGGGUGGGUAUAAAAAAUUUCUAUGGGUAUGGGUUUGGGUAGAAGGAGGUUGUACCCGCCCAUACCCUACCCAUUGCCAUCCCUAUUUGUGCGCCAACCUGCAGGUGAAUGACUUCAAAUUGUUCUCCGACAACACAUAUACAGGGAGCAGAUUCUGAGGAUGGAGAAGGCAAUCCUGAACAUGCUUGAGUGGAACUUGACAGUGCCCACACCUUACGUCUUCCUUGUCCGAUUCGCCAAGGCCGCGUCCUCCUGAGAUAAGAAGAACGGCAAGGAGAGCACUGUCUUUUUUGUGUGGAGCUGGCGCUGCUGCAGUAUGGACAGGAACAAUGCGUUGAUGUCGAGCAAAACACAGAGACAAGGUUAGAAAGUUCAACAUGUGAUUGGAAUUCAGUGCGAAAAGCUGCAGGUGCGAGAUGGCGGCCGCCGACGUUGCUAAAUCCUUCUACAAACUAGUGGUUGGCUGCUUCGAGCGGUAAAUGUGGUCGGAUUCAGCAGCUAGCUCUUCCUCGAGCAACCAUUUGGAGAAUUUUAUUGUCUUCUUGUGGUGGUGAUUGAUUUUAGGAUCAGUAAAUUUGACAUUGGUAGCUAGCUUGCGUAUGGAACCUGCAAGUUCAAUAUUGGUAUUAGAUUUAGUUUCUUGUUGUACAAAUGUCCCAGUUCAGCUACAGAAAUCAUGCAGGAUUAGAGAAAUCAUGCAGGUUUAGUGAUGAUGAUACCAUAAGUUCGGACAAGAAAAUUUAUGUAUAUGAUGAGAUGAUUGCUACUUCUUCAAAGAAGGUAUAGUACAUGACA